CUGUCAGCAGCCCGUGAGGAAGGAACUCCCUGAGCAAAGAUGUGAGAAGAAGCCUGACCACAGAGGCAGCCAUUCAUGGCACAGGGGUCUCCCCUGAUGAAGAGAGACAGCAAUGUCAACCAUGGAUUUGCACUGUGAUAAGAAGUGGAACUGCAGAGUAGGCCAAGUUUCAGGAGGAACCUAACUCGAUGCAAUACCAAGCACUCAGGAAUUGUAGGGGAAGGUAGCACCAGGGGAACAGCUUGAAAUCUGACACUAAACUUCAAGGAGCUUGUACGGUUUUGAAACCCAGCUACAUACCUGAUAUCCUGAUGUCUGAAACACCUAAAUUAUGCAAGAAGCAAGUGCCAUAGAGUUGGCUGCUUCCCUGCUCCUUUGCCAUCUUCUGAAAUCAAAUAUCAAGAGUGAGAUACUGCCAAGAUGCUAACUCCUGCCGAAGCUUCCUCCAUGUCCACUAGAAGUGAGGCCAUUCUUUAAAUGACCUGGAACUUAAUGAAAAUACAGCAGUUGCUUUUUAAAGUCUUGAUUGUGCUGUGCCCAGUGACUCUGGCUCAGGAGGCAGGAGGGAGACUUCAGGAGAGCAACUUGAAACAAAGAACUUGGAAACCAAUGAAGAUGCAGGCCCUAAUGCUGGGAGAAGAAAACACUGGAAUUGCUUUCUGUAGCAGGGGAUUGGGCACAGAACACACACUGGGAAAUGCAGCGUCCAGAAAAGCCUUUCCCAGCCUGCCUACCUGGGUUGUAAACUAAGAAGAUGGUGAGUCAGGCUAGGAAUAGGGCACAGCUGGGGAACCUGGCAUGCAGCAGCCACAAGGCAUGGUGAGUGCACCUGCCUGGCUUCAAACGCCUGCUCAUGUGCUGCCUUGGCCCAAACUGUAGACAGCGUACGUUCCCUGGUUUCGUGGAUCCCACGAGGUGGGCUUCGGUUGUUCCUCUGGCCUCCCCCAAGCUCGCCUGCCAUGACUUUGAAUGUUACACCAGUGGGGCGGGGGGUAGCCUCGAAGGACCUCUCAGGGGUGACCACUUCACUCACUGGAUGUUCGUGGGGAUCCACCUCCCCUACACCCCAACCUUACACCAGCCUCUGGCCGGACGCCUGGUGUUGAAAUGGCCACCCUUCCAGUGUGGAUGUUCCUCCUAAGUGCUUUAUGGUAUCAUUGCUUCUUUGUGCCUUAGACGGUAUCCCCCACGCUCCUUGGGGAAGGAUGGUCGGUCAACUUAGGCCCUAGGCCUGGAACCCCCUUGAGCCGGUCGGCUCUAUUUCUGGAGCUGGUGGGGGUGCCCCUGUUGGCCAGGGGUAAAGAAAAUAAAACAAAGAAAAGCAGAAAAAGAAAAAACCCAAAAUGGCCUUCUAGUCCAGUGACCUAUUGUCUGGCUCUCCCAGCCCUUCUGCCCAUGCUUGGCAGUGCUCCUUCAACACUGGUCCCUCGGGGUUCCCCUUCCCUUUCUGCCCCCAGCCCGGCUCCCUGACCUGGUACCUGGGAGCGACCGGGCGGGGAAACUCCUGUUCCCUCUGGCUUGUCUUCAGCC